AAAGUCGUAACAAGGUUUCCGUAGGUGAACCUGCGGAAGGAUCAUUCCUAGUAGUUGGUGGGCUUUGCCCGCUAUCUACUUACCCAGUGUCUUUUGAGUACUUACGAUUUCCGUCGGUGGGUUCGGCCCGCCGAUUGGACAAUUUAAAACCAUUUGCAGUUGCAAAUCAGCGUCUGAAAAAAAACAUAAUAGUUACAA
rnacentral:misc_RNA from 1 species